ACCACUCCCUAUACGAUUUUGUACGUAGUGACAAAGGAGGAGAAAAAUAAGGAAGGAAAGGAGAGAAUUCAAGAAAAAGAAUUAAAAUGGAGAGGUCUGGACCAUGAACCUAUAAAACAUCCCUAUAAUUCAAUCUUUCGGUGCCCCCCAUCAAAAUAAUAUGGCGCCGCCCUUGAUUAUUAUUAUCAUUAAAAUUGAAAUCCAUUAAAAAAUAAUUAAUGGAAAUAAUCAGUUGGUUUAGAAAUCUUAUCAUGAUAAUAAAAUUAUUCGCUUCUAUUAUGAUUUGAAUAUUUGCAGCGUUAGUUUUUAUUGGCUCCACCGUAAUAGGCUAUAACAAUGGUUGAAAUAAUUCUAUCUAUUUCAUAGAAUGAAAAUCAGUCAGCGUAUUAUGGAGAGAUUACAUAAACUCGAUAGAUAUGUCGUUAAAAACAUAAAAUGAUAAACUAUAUUAUGUUAUUUGUAGGGCCAACACUCCAUCUGUCAAUUCCCCCCCCCCCUCACUCAGUAUAUUCGCUUCUAUUAUGAUUUGAAUAUUUACAGCGUUAGUUUUUAUUGGCUACACCAUAAAUAAUUCUGUGUAUUUCAUAGAAUGAAAAUCAGUCAGCGUAUUAUGAAGAGAUUAUAUAAACUCGAUGGAUAUGUCGUUAAAAACAUGAAAUGAUUAUGUAAUGUGAAACAUGUAAAAUAAUUAUGAUUGUGCAAAAUAAUCUAUACUCUCAGAGUAAAGCCAUUUUUGUUGACGCAAAAAAUAUCCGAUUUCUCAAACUGAAUUGAUAACAUUCAUUAAGUCAAAAUUAAAACAAACACUUAAUUGGCGCAAAAUGUUGGUAUUAUAUUCAUCUCAAAUUAAAGAACGUUGGGUAAAAAAAGCAAUCUGGUUUGAUAGAACGUUCUCUCUUUCUUUAAAUAGACGGGUUUACUAGAAAUGAAAUUCGUCUGUGAGAAGGUAUUUUAGUGAGAUUUGAGAUAUUUUAUGUUUAUUGAUUCUUAUAGUUCUAAAUAUGCAAUGAAGAACAUUCAUAUUAAAAAUACAUUGUAAAAAAUUCCACAACGAGUUCGAUGCCAAUAAUAUACAUACUAUAAAAAACUCGGAUGAAAGGAUAUUAAGGUGAAUAAAAGUGACUUUGUGUAAAAACAAAUGAAAUAGAGCAGACGGGCUUGCCAAGAAAAAGCCCAUGCUUGUAUGAUAAACAAACCCCCGUGUCUUACUUUCGAUAAUUAUAUGUAUUUUACAAAAUCAGUAAUACAAUAACGGAUAGAGACGGAAGAAGAUACCACCAAAAAAUAACAAUAUAUGAUAUAUCAAAAGUUAAAACGAAUGAAGUACAAACAUUCAUUAUAAAAAUAUAAUAUACGCUUGAGAGAAACAUUAUGCCAGUGCAGGCAGCAAAUAGUUUAACCAACCUAUUUAGAAACCAAAUGAUAAAGCUAUACAAUUUUUAUUCAUUCACUUAAAAUCCCCCUUCGUCAUCAUACCAAUAUGGUAUAAGCAAUAAAUGUCAAACUAAAAUAUUUCGCGUGACACAGAACAAAAUAUCGAAUAUAACUUAUAGACUAACUUGCCAGAAAUCCAUUUCCAAACGACAAAAACCUUAGUAUUCACGAAGAGAACAAAUUACUUUAUUUACCAAACAGAAGACUUCAAUGACAUUUAUAUGGGGACAGUUAUCAUGGUUAUUGUUUUUCUAUCAAUGAAAUAUUUACAAAGUAUCCUUUUCAGUCUCAAUAGUUCUACAAGGUUGAACUUCAAAAUUCAUGUGUACGAAGUUUUCUUUUAGUGCUAUAAAUACACUGUAAUUGUUACUUUAUUCAGCAUUUCGACAAAAAAGCAAUUUACUUGAGAAAAAAUGUACAUACACAAAAAGGACAAGGAUGUUUACUAUAUCUCAAGGGGCCCGUGACACAGAGCUUAGCAAUGAUCGUAGAACGUUUUUUACGACUGAUUCCAGUGACUUUACAAUGUACAAUCAAUCGUAAAAAUCAAGUAUACGAUUGAUCGCUAACCUGUGUGUUACUUUGAAUUAAUAUUCUCAGCCCACAGGCUUUCCGCCCCAACCUGGACUUGUAAGGCAACAUCCACAAGAAUAAAACACAUUCAUAUACAUUUUGUUAUACAUUAAUAAUUCAGAUAUAGAAAUCGCAUUUUAAAAUUGAAUUAAUAUGUAUGAGAUCAAGAAAAUGUAAUGGAAUUAGAAACAAAACAUGGGUCAACUUUAAGCUUAUCAAAAAGGUUUGAAAUUUAUAUUUCAUGGUAAAAUUUUUAUUUUUUCAGGUAAAUAAAUUAUUCAAUUCAUGUAUUUGAAGAUGUCUUAGCAUUAAAAUGAAGAAUUAAAAAAAAAAAAUCUUGCAAUUCAAAUGGUUUCGAAUAAGUAACCAAAGUGUUUCGCCGGCGAAAAGUUUGUUUGAAUUUAUAUAAUAUCAAUAUUGAAAGCGUUUAAUUAUUUGAAUUUAUUUCCCUUCAUUUAUUUAGGACACCGUAUAGAAUGACAUGCGAUAUUUUGUUAUGCAAAUUAAGUCCGCUUAGUGGAGUUUGGUGCAUAGGUGCGUUGACGUGUCACUCCAUUUUUGAAAGGUUCAGGAGUCAGACGCCAGUAUCGGCCUCCGCAGUUUGGGGGAAACUUUCUGUUGUUUAAUGUGAUUUAAACGUGGUUUUAUGUCCCGCCAGAAAAGAAUCGAAUAAAAUAUACGUUUAACGACGUUAUAUAUCGGUACGGCGGGAUGUGACUGUUUGUGUUCCUUCUUUCGACUAUCCACAAAGAAAUUAAAAGGUCAUUAUGGAAUUGUGCAUGUGCGCGCGCAUCUAAAAUCAGAGUUUAUCAGGUUUAUAUACAUACAGUGUUCAAAUUACGCAACAUAGAGAGAAUAUAAUUAUGUACAUUCCAAUAUAUUCAUAUACAUGCAAGACAUGUCAAUAACAACAUUUAGAAAGUAAUCAAUUUAGAAAAGCGAAUAUCAAAUUAGUGCAUUGAUUCAUUUUAACUACUAUUCAAUGCUUCAUUAUCAGAGUACAUCAUGCUAUCAUUAUACCUUUGAACAGAGAAAGACCUUAUAGUAUGUCAGAUACAUCAUCUUAUAUUACAUAAUUUACAAUAUAAUAUAUUUAUAUUAAGUCAAUAUAUUUCAAUAACCAUUCAAUGUUUCAUAAUCGGAGUAUUAUGUUACCCUUACACUAUAUUUAAAUGAAGACCUUCUAGUAUAUCACAACACAUCAUCUUCUAUUACAAAACAUACAGUACUUAUCAUCAUCAUUCUAUUGCGUCUUAAGUAAAUAUAACAAAGAGAGAAAUCGCUCUCUCAUUUUAUUUUCUUAUUAUUUAUUCUUCGUUUUGUUUGCUGGACAACUAUGUGCUUUUGUGUUUGUUUUCUUUUCAUAAUCUAUUCUAAAGCAAAAAAAAAAUAUGAUUAGUUUUCUCCAGAAAAAUAUCUUAUGUAUAAUGUUUGGAUAGAAUCAGUUUUCAAGAGAUACAUUCUCAUCAGGGAGGUGGGAAAAAACUUAUUUUUAUCCAUCUCUAUGAUUCUAAUGUUGUUCGUAGAGCAUGUCCGGAUUCUCUCGAAAGAGGGCGUUAUGAAACAAACGGCAAUUUAGGGACGUUUUAGGAUAAUAACCUUCCUCUAAUUAACGUCUAAAAUAAUUUUUUUGUACAAUUAA
rnacentral:lncRNA from 1 species